GCAGAUUAUUCAUAUAUUCUUUCGAUACUUUUUAGUUUUUACCUCUCAUUCCUAUCUACGGCCAAUCUUUGUGCCCUUUUUCGCCUCUCAUCUCUUGUUUGUUUCAUUGAUUUUGAAAAAGAAAAUAGAAAAUCGAACCCAAUUUAUCAUUUUUUUUUUGGUUGCAUUGGAUCAUGGGAUUUAAAUCUUUGUUCAACAGGAAGAAGAAACAACGCCUUCCGAUGACUGCCACAAACUCGAUGACUAUCAACUCCCGUUCAUCCUCCUUGAAUUCCAGAUCGCAGAUCGAGGAGGAGCUCGAACAAGUUUUCAAGAAAUUCGACGUUAAUGGCGACGGAAAGAUCUCGUCUUCCGAGUUGGGUUCAAUUAUGGGCAGUCUCGGCCAGCCAGCGACGGAUGAAGAGCUUGAGAUCAUGAUCAAGGAGGUGGAUGCCGACGGCGAUGGAUUCAUCAACCUGAAAGAAUUCAUUGAACUAAACACGAAGGAUAUCGACUCGGAUGAGGUGCUCGAGAAUCUCAAGGACGCGUUCUCGGUUUUCGACAUUGACAAGAAUGGCUCGAUAUCAGCCGAGGAAUUGCAGAAUGUGUUGAAGAGUCUUGGAGAGGAAUGCACAUUGUCCGAGUGCAAGAAGAUGAUAAGUGGGGUGGAUGCAGAUGGCAAUGGCAUGAUCAGUUUUGAUGAGUUUAAGGUCAUGAUGAUGAUGGGAUCGCGGUUUGACGCCACCGUGGAACCCAAGAUUGGUUGAUUCUGGAUAGUAUUAGAAAGGAAAGAUUAUUGAUUCUACACAAUCUCUAUUUUUAUGUUUAUAUAUUUGUUUCCCUAUGAUCUUUUGAGGUAGUGAAUAGAGAUUGAUUCUUCUUAACUUUGGCAUCCGAUUGUUUAAAUUGAAGGAUAUUUGAGUUUUUGAGUUUUUAAUUACAUCAAUUUGAUUUCAUAAGGAACUGAAUCGUAUGACCCAAUGAAUUGUUGCUUAAUCAAUAUGUUCAGUAUUUUUGCCAGUUUUGUAGAUUUAAUCGAUAUUUUUGCUCCUUUUCAUGAGAUGGAAUCUUUGUAAAUUUGAUUACUAUUCUUUAGUAUUAUUUGUCGGUUCCAAAAUUAAUUGCUUGAAUGAUUGAGGCCAGAACAUGUUUUUUUUCUUAGUAAAUUAUUCUUUUUCCAUAUCUUUGUUUACAGGAAUCUUAAGAUGUUUUUUGCGUUUUCAUGGGAGCGAAGGGCAGUGUUCUUAUCAUGAAAAUAUGUGGAAAGGUUAACAACUAUUUUCCCCAACUUUUCAUAGCUAGGAUUAUUAUUUAUACAAAUCUUUAGAAAUAUUGAAAUUUUGUUUGAAUUUUUAUUUGAUUCUCAUAAUUUAAGUAAAUUUGGUUCUCCAUGACUCAAGUGAAAAUCUUCAUCAGCAAUUGAUGCAAAGGCUGAAAAUUUAGGUGCUUCCAUGAGAGAGGUCGUUGAAGGGACAAAUUUAUUAUUUCUUUUAUAGAAAGGAUUUGUGAUUGUGG
rnacentral:lncRNA from 1 species